CCAGUCCGCUGCCCACCCUCUUCCCACCUGGACCUCUCCUGGCGGCUUGCUCCUCGUCGUCUUCUCUUUGAGGCGCCCCGCUGUGACCUGCGGACCAAGACGCGAGACGGGAAGCAGGAUCCAAGGCGACUUCCUCCAGCAGCCCCCAGAGAGUCAAGAAAUCAGGCUCUGGAUCCAGCUGAGUUGAUUGGACUCUCCUUUUUACAUGGACCUUUUAGGGCUGCCUGGGUGAGUACCUCUCAGAUCCUCGAGACUCUGCCUUUGCUGUGUCUCAGGUCUGAGCAAGUUUUGUUAUUGGCUUAGUUUCAUUUAUUGUUAAAUUACUUUCAUUCUUAAUUUGGCCUGGAUGUGUUUUCCCUUUUCUCAAUGUUUUGAAUUCUGUAUGGAGGUAAUUCUACUUCUUGAAUCUCUGGGUACUCACAGAAGGUAAUUCUACUUUCAAACAACUCUGGGUGAUUUGGAUUUAUCAUAACCCCGAGAAACCCAAAAGUACUGCUCCAUUUGGUUGUUUGUGAGCCUUGAGCUCCCUCUACCAGGACACUGUUAGAGAAAAGUGUCCUUAAAGUUUGAGAUUUUAGUUGCAGUAUAAUUUCAAGUGUUUUUGGAUUUGAUCAUGAAGCAAUAAUCAAGGUUAGUGCUCCAGUCUGGUUUUGGUGUGCACAUAUGGUCUAAAAGGAGAAUGGGCAAUAACAAAUCCAAGAGCGGAGAAUAUCUCUUAGAGACUUCCGCAGAAUUUGUGAGCAAGCAUUAUGGUCCUGCUACUUGUUCCUUUUUUAAGCCAAUGGCAUAACAACUUAGAAAAUACCUGGCUAUGAAGGAAAUUAGAAAAUGAAGAUUCCUCCAUAAGAACAACAGCAAGACAGUAAAACUACCUCUCAAGAAGAUUAAAAUCUCAGAUGCGUGUCACUUCUCUUUCUGUUCACUUGCCAGCUUCCUCUUUUUACUUUUGGUUUGCUAUCCACAUAUCUUGUUGAAUUCUUAAUACUAGGUUUUCAGAGACUAGGUCUGGUUUCCCAAAAAAAGAAAAACCAAAACAAACAAAGACCUGGGCUUAAGAAUAAGAAUCUGAACUCCAGGGUGGCUGCUAAUCACUUUCAUUUUCUUACGUACACAGAAAUCUCUUCCCGUGACUUUCAGUCUCUAAAGCAAGUUUUAACACCCUCAAGGGCCUUCUUUCUGGGCUCCCUUUUUAUCCUGGAAAACCUCAAAAACCACCUCCAUGGGUCUCGAGGGACAGUAGGUGGAAAAAUUCUACUUUGCUGAUUCACUAAAAACGCUUGUGAAUGAAUAAUUUCUUUUAUAAGGACCAGCACAAAGCUAUGUUCCAACGAGGCGGAGGACUCUCCUUCCUGUCUUAUGAGUUCCGUAAUUUGCUGCAAUGUCUCCCAGAAUUCACGAACCAUAUCAAGGAAAUGGCUCACGCAGUUGCGGAGGCUGGCAAUUCCCAAAUCCACGGAUCAGGUGUAGGCUUCUCCUGACUCAUGCGGCAGCAGGAGUCAAUGAACCCAAGUUGGCAGGCCAGAUGACAGGCUGCCAGCUCCAAAGACUGCAGAAACUGGUGAGUCGGGUCGCACCAUAGGCUGCUGGCCCAUGAGGCUGUGGAAGAUGGCAAAUUCCAGAAUUGGCAGGCCAGAUAACAGGCCUCUGGUUCAAGUCCUAAGCACAAGAGAAUAGACAGUAACAAGCCAGAUACAGGAUCCAGAUGCAGAGAGAGAGAGAACCCCGCCAGAGCAUCCACAUAUAUACAUUGGAUGCAGACCACACUCCAGGGAAGGGGGCGACUUGAGUAAGGGUGGGACUUGAGUCAUGCCCUCCUGCAAGGCUGUUAUUCAAGAUAGACCCCACACUAAUCCUCUCUCAUUAACAUAUGGAGGUUAGGAUUUACAUCACAUAAAAUGGAGGAUAAUUAGGAUAAUUACGUCGGAUCACAAAAUGAAGGAUAGGCACACAAUACUGGAUAUCAUGGCCUAGCCAAGCCAACACAUAACCCCAACCAUCACAAGUUCCAUACACCUUAUUUGCACAGUCCCACUCGUUCAUUGUGUGUAAGUCACAAAGACUAUGGUUAGAAGGGCCAUAUUACGUAAUUCAUUGCACCACAGCUUGACUAAAAUAUCUCAACAAAAAUGAACUAUAUUACUCAUGAAGAAAAACUAUAGUAUUUGAAAUAUGAAUAUAAUUGGACUAAAUCAAAAUUUCUAGGACUCUUACAUGUAAACUAUUGGAAUUUUCAGACUUCUACGGAUCUGAUAUUGCAUGAACCAAAAUGGGACUCAUUAAACCAAAAAAAAAAAAUUUACUGUAAAAUUUUUAUGAGAAUAUUACUGAUAUUCAAUAUUCUAAUUUCCAGAUGUAAGAACCCAUUUUUAUUUCCUUUUCCCUCUUUUAAUGUAAAAAUCAGUUAUUUAAAUAACUAAUAACAUUAUAUUAGCUAUAGAAUAUCCUACGGAUUAGAAGAUGUUAUGGCAUAUAUCAAAAUUCUGACUAAAUACAUUCAGAAUACAUUAAAUGAUUCUGCCCAUGGACUCCAAGAAAUAAAUGCUGAAAUAACUAUAAUGAGAGAAAUAGUUCUUCAAAACCCAAUGGCCCUCAACGUCCUUACUACCACACACAAAGGUAUCUGUGUAUUAAUAAGGCUGAUUUUUGAUGCUUAAUCUUAACAAUCCUGUUCCUUCCUUAGCUAAUUUUGUAGUUAGUUUUCUUCCUAAAGUUUACUGCCACUACUUUACUUUAAAAAGGUCUCUUUAAAGUGUUAAAAAAGCAAAGAUGUCAUCUUGAAGACUAAGGUGCGCCUGACCCAACCAGUGGUGUUUUCAGUCGCCUCAUAUGCUUGUGAAAGCUGGACAAUGAAUAAGGAAGACUGAAGAAGAAUUGAUGCCUUUGAAUUGUGGCGUCAGCAAAGAACAUUGAAUAUACCAUGGACUGCCAAAAGAACGAACAAAUCUGUCUUGGAAGAAGUACCACCAGAAUGCUCCUUAGAAGCAAGGAUGGUGAGACUGAGUUCUUUGGACAUGUUAUCAGGAGGGAUCAGUCCCUGGAGGAGUAUAUCAUGCUUGGUCAAGUAGAGGGUCAGCGAAAAAGAGGAAGACCCUCAAUGAGAUAGAUUGACACAGUGGCUGCAACAAUGGGCUCAAGCAUAACAAUGAUUGUGAGAUUGACACAGGACCAGGCAGUGUUUUGUUCUGUUGUAUAUAGGGUCGCUAUGAGUCGGAACUGACUUGAUGGCACCUAACAACAACAUAGCCUACGAGCCACAGCUUGUUGUCUGACCUGCCAGUCUUGAAAACAUGCUUGGCAUUUCUCAAGGUGAAAGAACUGAAAAAAAAUUCAAACCUGGGGUUGCAAUAGUGAAGGAUUCUAUGGACAAAGUACUGAAUGAUGCGGGAAGCAUCAAAAGAAGAUUGAAGGUAUGUAUACACAGACUCACUGUACCAAAAAGAAUUGGUCUAUGUUAGCUGUUUCAGGAGGUAGCAUAUGAUCGAGAACCAACAGUACCGAAGGAAGAAAUCCAAGCUGCACUGAAGGGAAUGGCAAAAACCAGUCUUCAGGAAUUGACAGAAUACCAAUUGAGAUGUUUCAACACAUGGAUGCAGCACUUGAAGUGCUCACUCAUCUAUGCCAAGAAAUUCGGAAGAACACUACCUGGCCAACUGACUGGAAGAUAUCCAUAUUUAUUCCUAUUCCAAAGAAAGGUGACCCAACCGAAUGCAGAAAUUACCAACACACAAGGAAAAUUUUGCUGAACAUCAUUCAAAAGCAGUUGCAGCAGUACAUCAACAGGGAACUGCCAGAAAUUCAAACCAGAUUCAGAAGAGGACGUGGAACCAGGGAUGUAAUUGCUGAUGUCAGAUGGACCUUGGCUGAAAGCAGAGAAUACCAGAAAGAUGUUUACCUGUGUUUUACUGACUAUGCAAAGGCACUUGACUGUGUGGAUCAUAACAAAUUACGGAUAAUAUUUUGAAGAAUGGGAGUUCCAGAACACUUAAUCGUGCUUAUGCGGAACCUUUACAUAGAUCAAGAGGGAGUCGUUUGGACAGAACAAGGGGAUACUGCAUGCUUCACAGUUAGGAAAGGUGUGCAUCACAGUUGUACCCUUUCACCAUACUUAAUUCAUUCUGUAUGCUGAGCAAAUAAUCUGAGAAGCUGGACUGUAUGAAGAACAAGGCAUCAGGAUUGGAGGAAGACAUUAACAAACUGCGAUAUGUAGAUGACAGUACCUUGCUUUCUGAAAGUGAAGAGGACUUGAAGCACUUACUGAUGAAGAUCAAAGACUCUAGCCUUCAGUAUGGAUUACACCUCAAUAUAAAAUAAAAAUCUGCACAACUGGACCAAUAAGCAACAUCAUAAUAAAUGGAGAAGAUAUUGCAGUUGUCAAGGAUUUCAUUUUACUUGGAUUCACAAUCAACACCCAUGGAAGCAGCUGUCAAGAGAUCAAACAGUGCAUUGCAUUGGGCAAAUUUGCUGCAAGAGACUUCUUUAAAGUGUUAAAAAGCAAAGAUGUCACCUUGAAGACUAAGGUGUGCCUGACCCAAGUCAUGGUGUUUUCAAUCGCCUCAUACACAUGCGAAAUCUGAGCUAUGAAUAAGGAAGACUGAAGAAUUAAUUCCUUUGAAUUAUGGUGUUGGUGAAAAAUAUUGAAUAUACCAUGGACUGCCAAAAGAGCAAAGAAAUCUGUCUUGGAAGAAAUACAGCCAGAAUGUUUCUUAGAGGCAAAGAUGGCGAGAUUUUGUCUCACAUACUUUGUACAUGUUAUCAGGAGGAACCAGUCCCUGAAGAAGGACAUCAUACUUGGUAGAGUAGAAGGUCAGCGAAAAAGAGGAAGACCCUCAAGGAGAUGUAUUGACUUGGUUGCCACAACAAUGGGCAACGAUUGUGAAUGUGUCGCAGGACCGGGCAGUGUUUUGUUCUGUUGUGCAUAGGAUCACUAUGAGUUGAAACUAACUCAACUGCACCUAACAACGUCAACAACACAAUAUGGAUUUUAUUCAUUCAUAAAAAAGAAUGAAAUUCUGAUACAUGCUAGAACAUGGAUGAAGCUUGAAAAUAUGCUUAGUGAAAAAAGCGGUCACAAAAGGCCACAUGUUUUAUGACUCCAUUUAUAUGAAAUGUCAUGGAUAGGGAAAUAAUUGAGACAGAAAGUAGAUUAGUUGUUGCCAGGGACUGGGGGGCGAGGGCUGGGGUGGAGGGCAAUAUGUGCAGUCUUCUAAAGGGUAUGAUGUUCAUUUUGGGGUGACAAGGAUGUUCUAAAAUUACAUAGUAGUGAUGUUUGUACAACUCUAUGAAUAUACUAUCACUGAAUUGUACACUUUAAAGGGUGAAUUUUAUGGCAUGUGAAUUAUAUCUCAUUAAAACUGUGUGUGUGUUUUUUUUCAAUGUACAUAACUGUCUCCCCUUAAAGUCAAAAUACUGCCUCUCCAUGGUUUGCGGUCCACUGUAAUCAACUUUCCCCAAGAAAAUACAUGUUACCAUUUGUAUUAGUCCCUGGAUGGUGCAAACCAUUAACGUACUUGGCUGCUAUCCUAGUCAUCUAGUUGCUGCUACAACAGAAAUACCACAAAUCGAUGGCUUUAACAAAGACAAAUUUAUCCUCUCACAGUUUAGUAGGCUACAAGUCCAAAUUCAGGGUGUCAGCUCCACAAGAAGGCUUUCUGUCUCUAUCGGCUCUGGAGGAAGGUCCUUGUCCUCAGUCUUCCCCUGGACUAGGAGAUGUUAUCAGGAGGGAACAGUCCCCGGAGAAGGACAUAAUGGUUGGUAAAGUAGAGGGUCAGCAAAAAAGCGGAAGACCCUCAACAAGAUGGAUUGACACAGUGGCUGCAGCAAUGGGCUCAAGCAUAGCAACAAUUGUGAGGAUGACACAAGCAACGAUUGUGAGGAUGGUUGCAAGAGCAGGCAUUGUUUUGUUCUGUUGUACAUAAGGUCACUAUAGAGUAGGAACUGACUCGAUGGCACCUAAUGAGAACAAGAGUUCUUUAUUAUACCCUGAAGACAGGUACUUUAUCAAAUAUUUUCUUCCAGGCAGAAGCUUGUUGUUUCAUUUUCUUAAGAGUGACUUUUAAAGAGAAAGUUUAAAAUAUUUUAAUAUUGAUGUGGUUCAAUUAUAACUUUUUUAUGGUUAGUGCUUUUUAUAUCCUUUUGAGAAA